GACGAACCGAGCGAACGUUGUUCGGAAUCACUGGGCUUAAAGGGCGCGUAGGCGGGCUGUCAAGUCUGGGGUGAAAUCCCGCGGCUCAACCGCGGAACUGCCUCAGAUACUGACGGUCUCGAGGGGGGUAGGGGCGAGCGGAACUGAUGGUGGAGCGGUGAAAUGCGUUGAUAUCAUCAGGAACUCCGGUGGCGAAGGCGGCAUCCUGGACCGGCAUUGACGCUGAGGUGCGAAAGCGUGGGGGAGCAAACAGG
rnacentral:rRNA from 1 species